rnacentral:rRNA from 1 species
UACGUAAGUGGCGAGCGUUAUCCGGAAUUACUGGGCGUAAAGCGUGCGUAGGCGGUUUAGUGUGUGGGAAUUGAAAGCCCGGGGCUCAACUCCGGAUCCGGUUCCCAAACUGCUAGACUCGAGCGUAUCAGAGGAGAGCGGAAUUCCCGGUGUAGCGGUAAUAUGCGUAGAUAUCGGGAGGAACACCAGUGGCGAAGGCGGCUCUCUGGGUAUUGCUGACGCUGAGGCACGAAAGCCAGGGGAGCGAACGGG